AACCGCGGUUAUACGAGAGACCCAAACUGAUACCUGCGGCGUAAAGGGUGGUUAAAUAUAAGCUAAAAUAGGACUGAAUUAUUCCCUAGCUGUUAUACGCCACGGAUAUAAGAAAAUCAUAAACGAAAGUAGUCCUACUAGUUUGACUCCACGAAAGCUAGGGAA
rnacentral:rRNA from 1 species